AUUGAACGCUGGCGGCAUGCCUUACACAUGCAAGUCGAACGGCAGCACGGGAGCAAUCCUGGUGGCGAGUGGCGAACGGGUGAGUAAUAUAUCGGAACGUGCCCAGUCGUGGGGGAUAACGCAGCGAAAGCUGUGCUAAUACCGCAUACGAUCUAUGGAUGAAAGCGGGGGAUCGCAAGACCUCGCGCGCUUGGAGCGGCCGAUAUCAGAUUAGGUAGUUGGUGGGGUAAAGGCUCACCAAGCCGACGAUCUGUAGCUGGUCUGAGAGGACGACCAGCCACACUGGAACUGAGACACGGUCCAGACUCCUACGGGAGGCAGCAGUGGGGAAUUUUGGACAAUGGGCACAAGCCUGAUCCAGCAAUGCCGCGUGCAGGAUGAAGGCCUUCGGGUUGUAAACUGCUUUUGAACGGAGCGAAAAGGCUCUCUCUAAUACAGGGGGCUCAUGACGGUACCGUAAGAAUAAGCACCGGCUAACUACGUGCCAGCCGCCGCUGUAAGAC
rnacentral:rRNA from 1 species